rnacentral:rRNA from 1 species
UACGUAGGGGGCAAGCGUUGUCCGGAAUCAUUGGGCGUAAAGAGCGCGUAGGCGGCCCUGUAAGUCCGCUGUGAAAGUCAAGGGCUCAACCCUUGAAUGCCGGUGGAUACUGCAGGGCUAGAGUCCGGAAGAGGCGAGUGGAAUUCCCGGUGUAGAGGUGAAAUGCGCAGAUAUCAGGAGGAACACCAACGGCGAAGGCAGCACUCUGGGCCGGAACUGACGCUGAGGAGCGAAAGCCAGGGGAGCAAACGGG